AGCUCCAAUAGCGUAUAUUAAAGUUGUUGCAGUUAAAAAGCUCGUAGUUGGAUUUCGGGAUGGGCCAGUCGGUCUGCCGCAAGGUAAGUUACUGGCUGGUCUGUCCUUCUUCGCAAAGACUGCGCGUGCCCUUAACUGAGUGUGCGUAGGAUUUGCGACGUUUACUUUGAAAAAAUUAGAGUGUUCAAAGCAGGCUAACCGCUUGAAUACAUGAGCAUGGAAUAAUGGAAUAGGACUUUGGUUCUAUUUUGUUGGUUUGGGAGGCAGUAGUAAUGAUUAAUAGGGAUAGUUGGGGGCAUUAGUACUUAACUGUCAGAGGUGAAAUUCUCCGAUUUGUUAAAGACUAACUUAUGCGAAAGCAUUUGCCAAGGAUGUUUUCA
rnacentral:rRNA from 1 species